GUGCAUUACAAUGAGCUAAUACUAUAGAAGAUAAAAGAUUAAAAAAAUUAAAAUUUUAAAAUUUUUUGAUUUGUUAUGAGAUAUCAAUAAAUACAAAUAGAAAAUAUAAAACAGAUAUGUAUCAAUGUAGCAAAAAUUACAAUAGCAAAUAAAUUAUACAUAACACAAUAAUGAAAAAAAACAGUAACAGAGUUACUACUCCAUACAUACCUUUAUCGCCUUGUCAAGAUCGGAUAGGCAAUUUUCGUUCUCCGCAUCGCCUCCACCGCCAUUGUCGCAUAUCGAGCUUCUCUUUGAUCACGGCCACAUCGAUGCCGUACGGAUCCCCCCACACCCACCGCUUCUUCCCCUUCAUCGGCUCCAAAUUCAUCGCACUUCACCUCGCCAUGCCACCGCAAUCUUCAGAAUCCUAAUUUCACUCUGCACACAAUAUAAAAAAUAGAAAAAAAUUAAGAUAAAUAUAAAAAUUGAACCUUUCUUGUGCACCAAGAAAAAGCAGAAAGAAAAAUAAUGUGAUAAAAAUAAGUAUGAAGAGAUUUUAUUUUAUUUUUUUUUAAGCGAUUUGUUUAGAUGAAAAUGGAUCAUGUGAAUAUAUUAAUUAGAAACUGGGUGGGUGGAAAGACGAUGUUAAAUUUUGGUUUAGAUUUGUAGUUAUCUAAAUUGGAGUUAAAUCCUAAUCUAAUUCGGAUUGGAUAUAAUUUAGAUUUAAUUUGGCAUAUAUGGAUUAUGAGUCGGAAUCUAAUUUCUAAUUGAAUUAGGAUUAGACUCUAUUUAGGAGACAUGUAUUAUAAAUACAUGCUACGGUCAAAUUAAUCUAGCCGCGAUCCAAUUGAGAAGCCAUGCAAAUUAAUUA
rnacentral:lncRNA from 1 species